rnacentral:rRNA from 1 species
UACGGAAGGUCCGGGCGUUAUCCGGAUUUAUUGGGUUUAAAGGGAGCGUAGGCCGGAGAUUAAGCGUGUUGUGAAAUGUAGACGCUCAACGUCUGCACUGCAGCGCGAACUGGUUUCCUUGAGUACGCACAAAGUGGGCGGAAUUCGUGGUGUAGCGGUGAAAUGCUUAGAUAUCACGAAGAACUCCGAUUGCGAAGGCAGCUCACUGGAGCGCAACUGACGCUGAAGCGCGAAAGGGCGGGGAGCGAACAGG